rnacentral:rRNA from 1 species
UCCGGCGACCGGCGCACGGGUGAGUAACACGUAUGCAACCUGCCCUCUUCAGGGGGACAACCUUCCGAAAGGGAGGCUAAUCCCGCGUAUAUCGGUUUCGGGCAUCCGAGAUCGAGGAAAGAUUCAUCGGAAGAGGAUGGGCAUGCGGCGCAUUAGCUAGACGGCGGGGUAACGGCCCACCGUGGCGACGAUGCGUAGGGGUUCUGAGAGGAAGGUCCCCCACACUGGUACUGAGACACGGACCAGACUCCUACGGAAGGCAGCAG